UACAGAGGUCCCAAGCGUUGUUCGGAUUCAUUGGGCGUAAAGCGCGCGUAGGCGGCUUCGCAAGUCGGCCGUGAAAUCUCCGGGCUCAACUCGGAGGGGUCGGGCGAGACUGCGAGGCUCGAGGUGGGCAGAGGGCAGUGGAAUUCCGGGUGUAGUGGUGGAAUGCGUAGAGAGUCCGGAGGAACACCAGUGGCGAAGGCGGCUGCCUGGGCCUGGCCUGACGCUGAGGCGCGAAAGCGUGGGGAGCAAUCCGG
rnacentral:rRNA from 1 species